rfam:Pseudocercospora musae strain CBS 116634 scaffold638, whole genome shotgun sequence.
UGCGGAUUGAUGUAAUAGUAACAUAAUGGGCUCAUGACCCAUAAAUAAAGGUGCAACUCCUUUGUCCGCAC